CGUGAAAUAUGCUUAAAGUCUUGCUCAUACCUCCCUGGAACUAUACACUGGUGAGCACAGUCGUGUGUGCUGCACAGCUUGGGUACCAGAGCAGAUGCUUCUGCACUGACUGUUCAUGUGGAAGACAGAAUAUGGCAGCUGACACAUUUAUGUCCUUUAUUUCGUGUGACUCAGGCACAAAGGGGUAUUCUCACCUAACUGAUCACAGGACGACAGUAUGAAAAAGAGGAAAACCAGCUGGAUUAUACUGGCAAAUACCUCAGGAAGGCAGAGCUAAUUGCUCCAAUUAUUACUGGAGAGCCAGGCAACUACAUAGCAUGCAAAAAAGGAAAAGCCUGGAAGAGUUCAUUAAAGAUUAUGUAAACGAAGAGUGCAUAUCAUUAGUAUAUCAUCUUGCAGAAGUUCCGUAAGUUCUUGUCCAUUCUGGCUCAUCUUCCCUCUGUUAAAAGAUAUGGUGGUAGUUGUCAAUAAGACCAUGAAGAGUUGAGAUCUAAGAAAAUGAUACAUCCAAGCCAAUGAGGCUUGGUUCUGUACAAAAAGACAAACAUCACAGGCAACUGAAAUCAUAUCUUGUUAAGAUUGUACAUUCUUAUAGAAUGGGGCCAUCAAGUGUUCUCUGCUACCUGCCCCCCACCAGCCUGGUGUUCUGCAACCAGUCUGCAUAGCUCCUAUCCUCACUUUAUCCUGUUACAGUGAAUAGUGAAAUAUACAAUAAGGAGUCACAAAAUUGAUAUUUGGUCUACAGUACCAUUACUUCAAAGAGAAAAGACUCUUCAGGAUGUGGCAGAUGGAAAAGACCAAGCUGAACUGAAGAUCAUUACCCUGCAUCAUUAUUUGGCCUCUUUCUGGGAGAGAGGAGAUACCCGUUCCCCCCUCCAGCCCCUUCUCCAUGAAGUUUUUAUGCAGUUUAUGGUACUUUUAAAGGAUUGCAACAACAGCGAUGUCUGGGCUGUUCAGCCAUUGAACUACGAAGAAUAGAAAUAGGAAAUGAAAGUUUAGAACUCUAAUAUGGGCUGCUUCUUCUGAAAUAGUGCACAGAAUUUCCUAUUAUACAAAUUUAUUGUUGUUUGAUUUCAUUUUUAUCUGCUAAUCCUAUUUUAGUGGCUAGUUCCCCCAAUGAGAUGAAAUAUACUCUACUUGGAAGGUGUGUUGAUGGGUAGACACAUCACAUUUAGUAGCUAGCAAUGUGGUGUGAAUGCUGUCUCUGAGUGAUACUGUUUUACGGUCUGUGGUACAGGCUGGCAUGAGCAAAAGUUUCAGUUCAGCCUUUCUAGUGAAUAAUACAUAAAUGAGUUGGAAGAGUUCUCGAGUGCUUACAGUAAUUCUUUCAGAUUCUAAGAAAGUGGAUCAUAAUGUUAUCCCUGGUGUAGGAUCAGGGCUUCCCAAGAAAAAAAAUGAUAAUGAUUAGACAGAUACCUUUUGUACUGUGUACUGUUUACAGAAAAAAAAAACCACUUUUCCUUCAACAGAAUGAUAUUUGACCACGUACUCCCUUAUGCCUUCUUUGAAAAGAAUUGUUGAGUCAAGAAAAUUGAGGCUAGCGCUGACGUCACCUUUAGCUCCAUUUUUUAAUUUUUAUUUUUUUAAAUUAUUCUUAUUCUUAGCAUGAUAUUAGUUGAAUGCAUCUAUGGCAAAACUGUGCUUUUGUUUAUGCUUUGGCUUAUAGACUCAGUUAGAAAAUCAACUUUUAUAACCAAGGAAAACAUGUAAUUCAUGCCUCAGUGUAAAGAAAACACCAUAUUAAAAUCAAUAAGGAAGGAAAGAAUGGAAGCCAUAUGAUUUCACUUAAUCUUUCAGAAAAGUCUGUUUUUACAACAGAGUGGAUGCUUUUUUAAAACCUAACAUAAGGGAGAUAGAUAAUUCACACAAGACCUAUAGCCAUGAACUGUCAAAUCAGUCAGCAGCAAAAUGAAAACAAUCCAGCGCUGUCAGCCACUCCAGCCAUUCUUUUACAGUGAAUGGACUUUUUUUUUUUAAAGACUUAAAUUUGAAAAAUUGGACUAUGCUGUUCCAUGGUUCCUGUGGAUAAAAGAACAGACUCAAGCAGAACUUACUCCUGGGGAUUAAAUUGUAGAUGUUCCCCCUUUCAGCUAUCUGUCUAGAAGCAGAAAUACAUCUGUCUAAGCACAUUGAGAAAGGCAGUUCCAUUUGUAAACCGAACAGGAGGAGGGAAAAAUGCUUUUGAGUAUGCAUUCAGGAUUAAGUUUUGAGAAUUUGCCUCUAAUUUCUUGGAAAAAAAAAAAGCGCUCUCUAUAACUGGCAGCCUUGUGAGAAACCCUGGGUGACAAAAAAGGCUGAUAGCAUCAUGUUGAGUCUUCUCAAAGAGAUGCAAGCCCAUGGGAGCAGGUGAAAUCACUGAUCUGCUUUGGAUAGUUAUCCUCUCGCCAACAGACAGGGCAUGUCACACACAGCCUCUUCUGGCAGAAGCUUGUCUACUCCUCACUCUCAGUCACCUUGCGCUUCAAGUGCUCCAACCUCCAACUGCCCCCAAACGCCAGUUUAUCUGUUUUUAUGAAGGGUUUGCUAGCACUGAAAGCAAGUGCUGCUCAGGCUUGCUCUGUAAGGUUCUGCAGUGUAAAACCCUGUUUUGGGACUGCUAGUUGCAUCUUUUGUGAACUGGCAACAGAAUGGGGAUACAUAACAAAGUAGUGAUCAAAGGCAAAUAUCUCAGGUCAGUUCUGAUAGCUUCUUUUCCUAACUCUUCCUCAGAUUGAACAGUACUUUAGACUAUGGUCUCACCCAUUUCAGCCACAUUUGUAUAUUAGACAUAGCUUUGACUGUAUGCUGAGCAGUGAUAUUUUGUGAAAUUUCAACACAACUCUUUACAGAGCAAUUUACCAUUUGAAGUGAGUAAUGGCAGAACAGGACUCAUCUUAAACUGUGGUGAUGGCCUUUCUUUACCGAGCAAAGCAAUCCUGAUGAAAUAAUUUUCUUCUAUGUGCUCCAUAGGGUUAGGCUACCAUCUAAUAGACUUUUGAAAUAAGAGUUAUCAAACGAAGAAUCUGAGCAAUUUCCUGAAAUUAUGUGUCAGCUUAAAAUAGUGGAAGAGUAAAUAGCAGGAAUAGCCAAAGCAAAAUGUGCCAGCUAUUAGACUGAAACGGGACUCAAAAGACAGCCUCAGAUUAUUGCUAUCUGCAGAGAGUGGGGACAAAUUGUUCUUGUUUUGAUAAUGACUCUUGGAAAUGGGUUAUUUGUAGCAAUAUGAAGGCCCAUUUAACUUGGAAAUUAAGAGACUAGUGAAGUUAGGCAUAAAACAGCUUUGGGCAGUAAAUUAUUUAAAGUGUGAAGGAAACUUCCUAAAUUAUUGCAGGAAAUUAAAACAUGGCAUUGCCUAUUAAAAGUGUGAAAAUGGGUAUAGACCUAAAGGGACCCCAAAUAAGCAGGUAUUUAAAUCCAUAAUCAUAUCCAAUUCAAAAGAUUUAUAGAACCUAGGAAUCAAUUUCCUUUCACUCCACAUUGCUUCUAAUGCCAGUAAAUAGAACUUAGUGGUAAGGAAAAUUCCUGUCGAUUUUAAUUUCUUAUAGCUAAGUGGCUAGAAAUUACACAGUGCUGGCUCAGACCUGUAUCAUGGAUUUUACAGUGCUAGCAAUAUCUUGGUACAUACAUCACAUCACAUUUCUGUGUAGCUUUAACCUGUUAUGCUGACACUUAAGUGAACUGUUGUCAAAGUUGUUGGACUGCAGGAGUUAAAAGCAGCUAUGCUGCCUUUUGAACUAAAGUGUUUUAAACUGGAGGUCUUUGAGAGGUGUAAAUUGACUGGCUUAUUUGGGUACAAUUGUAAAAAUGCUGAUGCACAGUCCAUCUACCCUAGAUAUUCUAGCUAACAGUAUUAACUCUGAUUGUAGACCUCCCUCUGACCAGUAAAAUCACUUGACACACAGCUAUUUGGAAAGUAGUUUCCUCUUAGAAUAUCACAGAAAAGCUUUUGUGUCAUGAUGGAAAAUUUAUAAUGUAAAAUAUGAAAUGUUCUCUGUGAGAUGGGAGAAAUAAAUAGGUUCUGGCUACAUGCAUUAGAUUUGGAGGUUUUCAGAAAGUGUUGUGAUUUUAAAUUCCCGGAGGUUUGGGGUUGAAAAAAACCUUUCUAUUAUUGAGUAAAAGAAUAUAGGAAAACUAGACAGAAAUUGCUGUAGAAAUACAUGGUUUUUAUUACCUUAAAUGGUAAUUUAACAGGUAUGUUUGGACCUUUAACAGAAACACAUGGUAUUUUCUCUAGAUCUUUAACAUUUGCUAACUAAUUCAGGUCAAGAGUACAGCAGUGCUUUUCUCCUGGCAGGUUGUUUGCUUGUUUGGUUGGUUUUUUAAUGUGUGCCAAAUAAAAGAGGAGGUGCAUAUGGCAUCCAUCAUCAUGUCAUGUUCAAGCAACAGCGUAUUGACUUGUAGCUUCUCUCUCACAAAUGUCUGUUAGAAAGGAUAGAAAAAUGCAUAGGACUACAAUGAUGUUCAGGCUUAAAAUCACCUACUGAGUUAUUUAAUUUAUUGUUCUCCAAAGAUCCUAGGAAGAAUCAAAAUAAUUUUCUAGAAAUUCUCUUCUUUGGUCAUAAAAUUUUUUGUUGUUGUUGACCAUUUGCUAUUCUGAUGUAAUAAAGGAAUUGGUUUUUCAUUGUACAAUCAUUGUACCUUUUGGGGCAAACCUGGCACCUCCUCCUCUGCAAAUAAGGACAAGCCCAUUGAAUUUUACCCAUUAAGCUACAUCCAUGUAGAGACCACAGCUCCCUAUAAAACUGUGUAUUUUAAAAAAUGACCAGUUACAUGGAUAAAUGAUGACUAUAUUGUGAACACUAUCUUUUUAUUGUGCUCUGAACGUCUUAUUUCACUGGAAACUACAUUUUCUAUUCUACUGAAGCAGAGCAGGUUCACCUUUCUACUUCACACAGACACUGAAGUGAACUUUUGCUUGUCUUAUUCAGUUUUUUGGAAGUUAUUAAAACUAAAGGAUGUAGUUCAUUCUUUUAAAACUAUAAACUGUCUUUGAAAAAGCCUUUUAUAUAAAAUCAUUAAAUAACUAUAUUGAAGAUACACCUACUGUUUUAUAUGCAUAUAUCCAGAGAACUGGUAAUUUUCAUCAGAAUAUCUCUAACUGUUCAAAUAUCUGAAGAACGCUAAAAUAAUUUCUUAUAUUUAAAACAUAAGUGACGUACCAAGAAAAUUCCAUAUAAUGGAAAGAUCCUUCUGUGGGAAAAAUUACUGACUUAAAAGGAGUUGGACUGAUCUACAUUAUCUCUAAAACUGACUCAUCUGGUGGAUAAACUCUAAUACACAGAUUUAUGUUGAAAGGAAUGUGCUAAAUUUUAUGUGAAUGUGUAAUUGGCAACGAUUCAGAUUUUUCACAAAAACGAAAUCAAAUUAACUCAAACCUAGGCACUGCUCCCUCCCUCUGGCUUGGAUCCCUUGCAACUUCUGCCUUCAAAGGGUUGGCUCUGAAAUGUUAUUGUUCCUCUCUGAGGGGUGUGAUGGGAAUGUGUAUUAUGCAAUUGGUUUCUUUGCAGAUCACAUUCUUAUCUCUCACGGGCAACGAGAAAAUUAUACUUCAGGGUUUAUUUUUAAUUAAAUGCUGCAGUUGAAUAUUGGAUUUUACAAAGGUGCUGAACAAAGACCAAUGUUUUCUGUUGUAGCUUCACCUUAAUUUUAAACCAGAUUGAUUAAAAUAUAUUUUUUUACUGUUUAAAAUGAAUACAGAAAUAGCUCUGUCCAAUAAACUUAAACUGAUGCAAGUCCUUUGCAUUCAUAAAAUAUAAUACGUAUACCAUGGGUGCUGGUUUUGUUUAUGAUUUCAUUUUUACUUUUCAUCAGACAUACAACUAAUAACUGACAAAAUACAUUGAACAGAAAAGGUCCUGGGAGUCAGAAGUAGAGAAAGAUUUCUCUGGGGCAUUCUAAGAGUGACUGAGGGUUCUUGUAUUGUUUUGUUUUUUCAAGUGCCAAUUCAAUUCA